CUAUGGGGUGCAGCAGUGAGGAAUAUUGCACAAUGGGGGGAACCCUGAUGCAGCAACGCCGCGUGGAGGAUGACGCAUUUCGGUGUGUAAACUCCUUUUAUAUGUCAAGAAAAUGACGGUAGCAUAUGAAUAAGCACCGGCUAACUCCGUGCCAGCAGCCGCGGUAAUACGGAGGGUGCAAGCGUUACUCGGAAUCACUGGGCGUAAAGGACGCGUAGGCGGGUUGGAAAGUCAGGUGUGAAAUCCUACAGCUUAACUGUAGAACUGCACUUGAAACUUCUAAUCUAGAGUAUGGGAGGGGGAGAUGGAAUUAGUGGUAUAGGGGUAAAAUCCGUAGAUAUCACUAGGAAUACCUAAAGCGAAGGCGAUCUCCUGGAACAUUACUGACGCUAAGGCGUGAAAGCGUGGGGAGCAAACAGGAUUAGAUACCCCCGUAGUC
rnacentral:rRNA from 1 species